GAUGAACGCUGGCGGCGUGCCUAAUACAUGCAAGUCGAGCGAACAGACGAGGAGCUUGCUCCUUUGACGUUAGCGGCGGACGGGUGAGUAACACGUGGAUAACCUACCUAUAAGACUGGGAUAACUUCGGGAAACCGGAGCUAAUACCGGAUAACAUGUUGAACCGCAUGGUUCAACAGUGAAAGACGGUCUUGCUGUCACUUAUAGAUGGAUCCGCGCCGCAUUAGCUAGUUGGUAAGGUAACGGCUUACCAAGGCAACGAUGCGUAGCCGACCUGAGAGGGUGAUCGGCCACACUGGAACUGAGUCACGGUCCAGACUCCUACGGGAGGCAGCAGUAGGGAAUCUUCCGCAAUGGGCGAAAGCCUGACGGAGCAACGCCGCGUGAGUGAAGAAGGUCUUCGGAUCGUAAAACUCUGUUAUUAGGGAAGAACAAAUGUGUAAGUAACUAUGCACGUCUUGACGGUACCUAAUCAGAAAGCCACGGCUAACUACGUG
rnacentral:rRNA from 1 species